rnacentral:rRNA from 1 species
AACGAACGCUGGCGGCAUGCCUAACACAUGCAAGUCGAACGAGACCUUCGGGUCUAGUGGCGCACGGGUGCGUAACGCGUGGGAACCUGCACUUAGGUUCGGAAUAACUCCCCGAAAGGGGUGCUAAUACCGGAUAAUGUCUUCGGACCAAAGAUUUAUCGCCUUUGGAUGGGCCCGCGUUGGAUUAGCUAGUUGGUAGGGUAAAAGCCUACCAAGGCGACGAUCCAUAGCUGGUCUGAGAGGAUGAUCAGCCACACUGGGACUGAGACACGGCCCAGACUCCUACGGGAGGCAGCAGUGGGGAAUAUUGGACAAUGGGCGAAAGCCUGAUCCAGCAAUGCCGCGUGAGUGAUGAAGGCCUUAGGGUUGUAAAGCUCUUUUACCCGGGAUGAUAAUGACAGUACCGGGAGAAUAAGCUCCGGCUAACUCCGUG